GAUAGAACGCAGCGAAAUGCGAUAAGUAAUGUGAAUUGCAGAAUUCAGUGAAUCAUCGAAUCUUUGAACGCACAUUGCGCCCGUCAGUAUUCUGGCGGGCAUGCCUGUUCGAGCGUCAUUACGCCCCUCAAGUCCCCUGUGGACUUGGUGUUGGGGAUCGGCGAGGCUGGUUUUCCAGCACAGCCGUCCCUUAAAUUAAUUGGCGGUCUCGCCGUGGCCCUCCUCUGCGCAGUAGUAAAACACUCGCAACAGGAGCCCGGCGCGGUCCACUGCCGUAAAACCCCCCAACUUUUUAUAGUUGACCUCGACUCAGGUAGGACUACCCGCUGAACUUAAGCAUAUCAAUAAGCGGAGGA
rnacentral:misc_RNA from 1 species